UGGAUUAGGCAUGCAAGUCGAACGAAUCCCACUGCUGUAGCAAUACAGUUGUGGGGGAAGUGGCGAAAGGGGCAGUAAGGCGUGGGUAACCUACCCCGGGGACGUGGAUAGCCGGUCUAACGGCCGGGUAAUACAUGGCGAUUCAGCGAAGGGGCAUCCCUUUGCUGGGAAAUGAAUUUCGCCUCGGGAGGGGCUCACGUGAUAUUAGCUUGUUGGCGGGGUAACGGCCCACCAAGGCAAAGAUGUCUAGCGGGUGUGAGAGCACGACCCGCGCCACUGGCACUGAGACACUGGCCAGACACCUACGGGUGGCUGCAGUCGAGGAUCUUUGGCAAUGGGCGCAAGCCUGACCAAGCGACGCCGCGUGUGCGAUGAUGGCCUUCGGGUUGUAAAGCAC
rnacentral:rRNA from 1 species